ensembl:lncRNA
GCUGUGGUGGGUGUGUUGAGGUUAGGUGUGGUGAUGUUUGGUGAGGUGUGGUGUGGUGAGGUGAGGUGUGGUGAGGUGCUGUGUGGUGUGGUGAGGUGUGGUAAGGUGUGAUGUGGUGAGGUGAGGUGUGAUGUGGUCAGGUGAGAUGAGUUGAGGUGUGGUGUGGUGAGGUGAGGUAUGGUGAGGUGAGAUGAGGUAAAAGGUGUGGUGAGGUGUGUUGAGAUGAGUUGAGGUGUGGUGAGAUGAGUUGAGGUGUGGUGUGGUAAAGUGAGGUGCGGUAAGGUGUGGUGAGGUAAGGUGAGCUGUGGUGCGGUGUGUUGAGGUUAGGUGUGGUGAUGUUUGGUGAGGUGUGGUGUGGUGAGGUGAGG